GUACAUCCUAGAAAAAGAAUAUGAUCACUGCAACCUUUUUGCCCGAAGGAGGCUAGCAAAGACCUUCAGGUGUGGUUAUCUGCUAGGACUAGGAGAGUGGAUGAUUGUUUGAUGCAAGGUUUGACUGUGAAUGGUUCAUACUCGGUUAAGUAUGGGUAUAACUUAUUGAUGGAAGCAAAUUUGGUAAACCAGCCUUCUUCCUCAAAUGUGUUGCAAAGUGACUGAAUCUAAAGCUGGUCGAGAAGUACUGAUCAAAUAUGUGGUUCAAACAAUAUCCUCUUAUAUUUUGAGUUGUUCAUGCCAUCCAACUCUAUAUGUUAUUGAACUGAACAAAUGAUCAAUAAAGUUCUAUGGGCAGGCGAUGUCACUUCCUGAAAGUUUCAUUGGUAGAAAUGGGAGAAGCUAAGAUAAAACCUUAUGUGUUAUGGGAACCCCACACUAGGUCGAUCGCCUCCGGGUACGGACGGUCACCCGAUAGGACGACAACGGCUGGCCCUACAACCUUGGAGUUGACUUCGGCCAACCACCCUAGGGGACUAGGGGUAGGCACACAUCACGAGGAACCCUGGACCUUGAGAUCACUGUACCACCGUAGGAAUAACAGAGGAUCCAACGACUGGGAAAGAUUAAGGUACAAGCCAUGCAUGACGUCACCGGACUAAACCCUAGCUCCAAGGCAAGUAUAUAAGGGGGGCUACCCCUCCUUGUAAAAGUAAGUUAUCUAUCCAUAUUUCACUACUCACUCACCCUUUUUCAACCUCUGACUUUGGCAUUGGAGUCCCUUGCAGGAGCCCCUUCCGGGAUCGCCCAGCUGCAGCGCGUCACCGCACCUCUCCUUUCACCUACCCCUGUCUCCGGGAAGUUUGGGCGCUCCCCGAUCAUUAUGGGGGCUGAUUUUGCCUGGAGGAGGCUAGCCAAAUCCUCCAGGUGUGGUUAUCUACUAGGACUAAGGAGAGUGGAUGAUUGUUUGAUGCAAGAUUUGAUUGUGGAUGGUUCUCGGUUAAGUAUUGGUUUAUAUUAAAUAAUAAAUAUCUUAUGUGAAGCUCGUUUGGAGAACCUUGACGAUAGUAGUGUGCACAUGAAAUUUUAGGCUUUGAAGAAGAAGUUGAAGGUUGUUUGAAUUGAAACUGAAACAUGUUUACCUGGGCAGUACAACCAUUUGACUUGUGCAGAGGUUUUUUUUAACUCCCUCAUUUUGUUUUUUCAGUUUUCUUCAAAGUUGAAUGCUUUUUGGACAUUUGAAACUUAACAAAUAGAAGCCAUCAAGUGUAGUGUCUCUAAGAAAUUUGGGUAUGAUAAUCCUGGAUAACUUCGAAGAAUCGUGUUUGUACACUUUUCGAGCAAAGUAUUUCGACCCUAUUCUUGCCUGGGUUCACGAAAUCCUUGUUGGGAUAAUUCUUGAAGAACAAUAUGCUUAUGACAAUAGAGAACAGAUCAGGAAUGUAGAGAGAAAUAUAGGUUUUUAUUUUUCUGUAUUUAAAAUUGAGGCCAAAUGACUCCUUAUAAAGGAGUUUGUUUCAGAAACCGAAAAACGGUUAAUAAAACAAAAUUACUUUUCGAAAAAUUUCGAACGUGGCUCCGCCCCUUGGAACCCCGCAAUCUAAUCGCGGUCAAUUAUGCGUUGGCUCAACAAGCGUGCACUCCGCACUACCCUAACUCGUUUCCGAGCUUAACGCAUAAUCGCAUCGGCCUGCAAUAAAUCACAUUACUACUAAAAUCCAUUGAUGAUACUUAAAUCACCAACAGUGUUUGUGCAUCGGAAAGUACUGCACUUGUGUGAGUCUUUCUCCCCAAACAUUGUUUUACUUGACUAUCAUAACUAAGGCCUCGUUUGGAAGAGCACAUAAACACUAGUGCAAAUGUUUGGGAGAGUUUAGAAGAGCUUAUUUGAUAACAUCAGGACUCUCAGAGGAGUUGGGAACUUUAAGAAAGUGCAGGAACAACCAAGUCGCACCUGUUUUAGUGCGUUAGAGAAGGAACUAAAACAUCUGACUCAGGAACCAUUAAGAGCAGCAGGAGAUAAAAUGUCACCUUCAACAUUAAAAAAAUAUGUACUCCUAAUGCUGACUGUCCUGCCAAAUUAUCGGAGAAGGACAAGAAAAGCCUGAAGAGGAAAGGAGGCUCAGUCCCCGCCUCUGAAACUCCCAAGCUGUUCUCUUCCAGCUUCAAGGUUCCAAAACUAAAGGCCACUUUAAGGGUAGAUGACAGAUGACAGCUUCUGUUAAUUUUUAGCCUGCAGUUAAGAGAUGGUUGCCUUGUAUAUGGUAUUUGUAUUAUGCGCUUUUUAUGUAAAUUGUGUAUUAUGUAUGAGCUUUCUUUUUGGUUCUUAUGCGGAAAUAGGUUUGAGAUUCCCACUUUAGGUAAAUUAUUAUGUAUCAGCUAGCUAGGGACGAGCUUGAUUGGUAAUUCUUUUAACAAAAAUAAUGGAUAGGUUUCUUAUUAUCA